AGAUCAUCAUGGUGACUUACAAGUAACUCACUGUGCUUUGAUGUCAGACUAUCUAAAUUUUUAAUUCAGUUCUGAAAGAUUUUUUAGCACAGUUAAGUACUUGUGAAGUCGAUAUGUGAGUUAAGAUAGAAUUAAUCCCUCCAAAUUAUAGGAGUUAAUACAUUAUUUUAUUUUAAUUUAAUAAAAUCUUGACUAGGAUAAUUCAUGAAAUGAAUUUGAAAGGUUGAAAUAUAAUGUAGAUGAUUUUUUUAGGAUUGACAG
rnacentral:lncRNA from 1 species